rnacentral:sRNA from 1 species
ACUCCUGUUAACCGGCAAUUAAACAUUGUCCGGUAACCUCAUGUUAUUCAGAUUUUUCUGAAUUUUGCAGAGUGGUUUCUCCCUCUGUUUGACGCCUCCCUGUUGACUUCGAGAGCGGUUUCGACCGCUCUUUUUUU